rnacentral:rRNA from 1 species
AUUGAACGCUGGCGGCAUGCCUUACACAUGCAAGUCGAACGGUAACGCGGGGCAACCUGGCGACGAGUGGCGAACGGGUGAGUAAUGUAUCGGAACGUGCCUAGUAGUGGGGGAUAACUACUCGAAAGAGUGGCUAAUACCGCAUGAGAUCUACGGAUGAAAGCAGGGGAUUGCAAGACCUGGUGCUACUAGAGCGGCGCAUGGCAGAUUAGGUAGUUGGUGGGAUAAAAGCUUACCAAGCCGACGAUCUGUAGCUGGUCUGAGAGGACGAUCAGCCACACUGGGACUGAGACACGGCCCAGACUCCUACGGGAGGCAGCAGUGGGGAAUUUUGGACAAUGGGCGCAAGCCUGAUCCAGCGAUGCCGCGUGCAGGAUGAAGGCCUUCGGGUUGUAAACUGCUUUUGUACGGAACGAAAAGCCCUGGGUUAAUACCCUGGGGUCAUGACGGUACCGUAAGAAUAAGCACCGGCUAACUACGUGCCAGCCGCCGCCGUAAAAC